GGGGGCAGAGAAGGGACAGACGGCCACGUGCCAGCCACGCGUCCCACAGGCCCGCCCCCAGCAUGGCCUGGAGCCCAGGCCUGCCAGAGGGGUAACCACACACUAGUGGGGUCUCCAGGAGCUUUGGAGAGGGCUGACCUUAGGUAGACUGACCCAGGCCAGCUCGCGCCUCUCCCAGGAAGGGUGACAUGGUGACCCACAGGUGUAGACGGCACUGUGUGAGCAGGGCCUCCCCAUGCACGUAGACAGCACCGUCCACACCCAGCCUGGCCCACAACACGUGGUGCACGGGAACCAAGACGCUGAACCACGCACAGAGGCCAGCCGGGGUCCUGUCCACGGUCCCCGCCACAUUAUCAAGACGGGCACCUGCAGCUCCAGGCAUCUUCCGAGCCUGCCACGUGGGCAGGCCCCUUUGCUCUGAAGGGCAAAGCCAGCAAACACCCGGCCAGGACCAGGGUGCCUGCACCCUGCCCACCAGCUCAGCCCUAAAAAGGUGGGCACCCGGCCGCUGCUCACUGCCCCACCUGCCCGUGGUCCGCUCAGCAGCCUCCAGCCGCCACGCCCCACCCCCAGGCCGGAGCCAGCGUGAGACCCGAGAGCGCCUGAGCAGAACUCCCCCAGUCCUCUCCUUCCCAGAAAGGGACCCAGCCUCCGAGCCCCGGCCCUGCUCCGCUGCGAGUGCCCGGGCCCGCCAGUGUCUGAGUCAAGCUCCAAAGGGUUCGGCCGGCAGCCCUUCUCCUCAUGCGGCCGAGGCCGGGCCUCCAGGCUGUGUUCAAAGCUGGCUCUGCGUUCACAUUUCAAAGGGAUGCCACAACUGUGCCUGUCCUCACAGGCCGGGCGGGGGGCGGGGGUGGUGGCCAGGCACAGCAGGGGGCCCCCCAGUUCCCUUUCUCUCUCCCUGCAGCCCUCCUGGGGGAGGCAGAGGCCCACUAGCCCCUGCAGGGCCCACGCACUGCGCAGAGAACGCCUAGCGGCAAGCGUUCCGAGCCGAACAGCGAGGACCCGGGGGAGCGGGAGCUGCGGGCACACAGCACUCCAGCCCUUGAAGCUGCUCCCCAGGGCCCGGGACAAGGCGGACCCCGCUCCGUGGGUACGCUGGAACUGAGGGGUUACGCCACAGGACGGCGAACGGGGGAGCCGGGUCUCCCGCUGCUGGAAAGAAACUGACUCAUCAGCAAGGGGAGACUGCAGACUCGAUCACCAGCAGGAGCUCACGGCUCACUGAGUGCGGACACGGGCAGCCCCACACAGGAGCGGCUGCAGGUGUGUGCCUGUCCUGCUCCGCCAGCUGAGCGGGCACAGAGCAGCGACACCCUGGCAGCACGAGGUCGGGCGCCCAGACCUGCGUUUCUGAAACCAUCCUCCAGUGAGAGGAGAACUGGCCGAUUCCAGGGCUGGGAGCACCCGUCGGGCCGGGAGGAAGGAAGGAGCUGCCCACAUCGCCCCACAUUGACGGAGGCUCAUCAACAAAACCCAGGAGCCUCCUGGAGGCGUUCCCAGCGGCCAGAGCUGGAACUACUGGCCCCACGAAAGAAGUGGGACCGCACUGGAACUUGAGGCAUAAGUGCACAUGAAUCCACACCGACAUUAGAAAUGACUGAGCA
rnacentral:lncRNA from 1 species